CCCAGGCUGCCAACUGAUCCCUCUCGUGUCUGCAGUAACCCGAAUGUAGUCUAGUAAGGUCUGCUCAAGUGAGAUGGAAAACGAAGAGGUAGGCUACAAAACAAGCUUGCGGUGAGUGUUUUCUAUGACUUGGUGUUUCUAGGACAACUUGUAUUUUUCCAUAAAAUUGAAAUGGGCUUGGUGUCGGUUGUCCCUUACUCUCACCUUGCUGUCACCAGGUCCUCUUCCUUUACCCAUCUUUAGGGCUCCCCAGUUCUGAUGGGAUCUCAGUGCCGCCUUCUGAUCCCACAAAGCUUGGCUCUGUUCUUUGCUUUUUGGGUUCCAGAACAUUUGCUACAGGUUACGGAGUGUUUCUCUUCUCUCUCUCCUUGUCUUCCAUGUUGCCUGUCGGCACCUCAGUGGACUUUCAGUGACCCAAACGCAGAUUCCUCUGAGUUGACCAAGUGUGAUGCCAAGAGAAGAGGUAGGCACCAGAACAGGCUGCUGGUGAGUGCUGUGCAUGACUUGGGGUUCUUAGAAUGACUUGCGUUCCUCCCUAACCCGUGUUUUUCAGUACUACUAUUGAGGGUUUUAACUUUGAUUCUAGGAUGGGAGACUCUGCCAUCAGAUGGCGUUGCCUGUUCUUCUCUCCCCAGUUUGCAGAGUUGGAUGUGACCUCAGCAUGGAUAAGGGGUAAGUGAUUCCUCCAUCCUGACCAGAAGGUAAUCUCUACUUGUCUUGUGCUGUGUGGAGCAGGUUGCAGUGGAGAAGUGCAGUUGUCCGGGGCGCUGCAAGGACUCUAUGGAGGCAUUUGGUGGACUUUGCAGGAACCCACAGCCAGAGAUGGAUGCCAAGAUGCACUCCUUCCUCUGUCUGGCAAGCUCUGCUGACCCCGAGGUCGUUCCCAUGCUUGCAGAGGUCCUACGGGCUUGGUGUUGGUUGUUGCUUGUGCUCACCUUGCUGUCGCUGGGUGUUCUUCCUUUACCCAUCUCAGGGCUCCUCAGUUCUGGUGGGAUCUCCAUGCCUUCUGUUGAUCCCAGAGUACUUCAAUAUGUUCUUUUAUUUCAGGUUCUGUACCAUUUCAUGCUUUUGUGUUAUGUUUUUCUUCCUUUUGUUUUACAGGAUGGAAAUGUACACCUGGUUGGAUCUACGAUGACCCAAAUGCAAUCUAGUAAGGUUUGGCCGAGUGUGGUGGGAAAGGAAGCGGUUGGCUCCUAAGCAGACUUCUGGAUUGGGGACACCAGCACCAGAUGCUCUUGCACUUCCUGACCUCCCUGGGUGGCAGCGUUGGAAGUGCCUGGACCCUUGGAAAGGGCUAAGUGAUUCCUUCAUCAUUACCAGAAUGUAGUUUGUGUUCAACAGGUGACGGUGGAGAACAGUGGCCUUCUGUUCAGCGCAAAAAGUCUACUGAGGAUCUAGGUGGAUAAAACAAGAACACAGAGCCACAGCUGGAUGCCAAGAUGCACUCCUUCCUCUGUCUGGCAAGCUCUGCUGACCCCUGAGGUCGUUUCCAUGCUUGCAGAGGUCCUAUCUGCUUGGUGUCGGUUGUGCCUUGUGUUCACUUGGCUUUCACCAGGUGUUGUUGCCUUAUAAUAUUUUUCCCACCCUGUUUCCAAGCAGGAGCUCCCCUUGGCCUCUGUGUCUUGCUCUGGCCAGGCAGAUGUAGUGCGCCAACGGUACACAGAGUGCAGAUCCUGAGCAGAACAACUGAGAGAAGCUGCCCUGGGUGAGACAGAAGUGCCCCUUGGAGUGGGGGACGCCCCGCUGGCGCUGCCUCUCGCAUCCACCGGCAGCAUGUUCCUUCUCUCUCCUUGGUGUCCGGCGCUUUGCCGUCCCCCAGGGCUCACUAAGUCCAAAUGUUCCCUGAUGGAGUCCAACUCCAGCUUGACCAACACUCACCCCAUCUUGUCCCUGCACCAGCUGGCUUAGGGCUCCCCAACAUUGCUGGCUGUCGGUGCCUUCUGUUGCUCCCAGUCAGCAUGGCUCUGUUCUUUGUCUUUGGGUUCCAGAGCAUUUGCUACAGGUUACGGAGUGUUUCUCUUCUCUCUCUCCUUGUCUUCCAUGUUGCCCGUUGGCACCUCAGUGGACUUUCAGUGACCCAAACGCAGACUCCUCUGCGUUGACCAAGCGUGAUGCCAAGAGAAGAGGAUAGGAGACUCUGCCAUCAGAUGGCGUUGCCUGUUCUUCUCUCCCCAGUUUGCAGAGUUGGAUGUGACCUCAGCAUGGAUAAGGGGUAAGUGAUUCCUCCAUCCUGACCAGAAGGUAAUCUCUACUUGUCUUGUGCUGUGUGGAGCAGGUUGCAGUGGAGAAGUGCAGUUGUCCGGGGCGCUGCAAGGACUCUAUGGAGGCAUUUGGUGGACGCAGCAGGAACCCACAGCCAGAGAUGGACGCCAAGAUGCACUCCUUCUGUCUGGCAAGCUCUGCUCACCCCUGAGGUCAUUCCCACGCUUGCAGAGGUCCUACGGGCUUGGUGUUGGUUGUUGCUUGUGCUCACCUUGCUGUCACCGGGUGUUCUUCCUUUACCCAUCUUAGGGCUCCCCAGUUCUGGUGGGAUCUCAGUACCCUCUGCUGAUCGCAGAGAAUAUGGGUUUGUUCCCUUAUCUUCAGAUUCAGUAUGUUUUCCUGCUGUUAUGUGAUGUUUGCCUUAGUUUUUUUUUUAUUUUUAUUUUAUUUCCAGGCUGCUUAUUGAUCCACCUUGGGUCUGGAAUAAACCAAAUGAUUUCUGGUAAGGUUUGACCAAGUGAGAUGGAAAAUGAAGAGGCAGUCUCCAAAACAGGCUUGCAGUGAGUAUGUCGUAUGACUUGGGGUUUCUAGCUUGAUCUCUGUUUUUUUGUAAGCCAUUUGGUUCAGUGCCUGAUAGGAAAGUUUCUUUCCUUCUAGUAUUGGAGACUAAUCCACCACGUGGUGAUGCCUUCCCUGACCUCCUUGAUUGCAGUGUGGGAUGUGCCCUGAUCCUUGGAAAGGGGUGAGUGAUUCCUUCAUCCUCACUAGAAGGUAAUUUCUACUUACUUAUUCUUGUGUCCAGCAGGUGGCACUGGAGAGUUGUGACCCUGCUGAGCAGUGCAAGGACUCUACUGAGGCUCUUGGUGGACUCAGCAGGAAUCCACACCCAUAGGUGGAUGCCAAUAUCUAUUCCUUCCCCUGUCUGGCAAGCUCUGGUGUCCCCUGAGGUCGUUCCCAUGCUUGCAGAGGUCCUAUGGACUUGUUGGUUGUUGCUUGUGCUCACUGGGCUUUCCAAGGGUGUUCCUCUUGCUUGACAACACCUUUCCCAUCCUCUAUUUCCAAGCAGGAGCUCCCUUUGGCCUCCAUGUCUCGCUCUGGCCAGGCAGAUGUGGUGUGCCAACGGAUCAAAGCCUUCAGAAUCCAACCAAAAGAAAUGAGGA